rnacentral:rRNA from 1 species
AGUGAACGCUGGCGGUAGGCCUAACACAUGCAAGUCGAACGGCAGCACAGAGGAGCUUGCUCCUUGGGUGGCGAGUGGCGGACGGGUGAGGAAUACAUCGGAAUCUACUCUGCCGUGGGGGAUAACGUAGGGAAACUUACGCUAAUACCGCAUACGACCUACGGGUGAAAGCAGGGGACCUUCGGGCCUUGCGCGAUUGAAUGAGCCGAUGUCGGAUUAGCUAGUUGGCGGGGUAAAGGCCCACCAAGGCGACGAUCCGUAGCUGGUCUGAGAGGAUGAUCAGCCACACUGGAACUGAGACACGGUCCAGAGUCCUACGGGAGGCAGCAGUGGGGAAUAUUGGACAAUGGGCGCAAGCCUGAUCCAGCCAUACCGCGUGGGUGAAGAAGGCCUUCGGGUUGUAAAGCCCUUUUGUUGGGAAAGAAAUCCAGCUGGCUAAUACCCGGUUGGGAUGACGGUACCCAAAGAAUAAGCACCGGCUAACUUCGUGCCAGCCGCCGCAGUAA